UGGCUCAGAACGAACGCUGGCGGCGCGUCUUAAGCAUGCAAGUCGAACGGGAUCAGGGGCUGCCCUGAUGAGAGUGGCGGACUGGUGAGUAACACGUAGGUGACAUGCCUUUGGUGGGGAUAGCCUGUGGAAACACAGGGUAAUACCGAAUAAGACCGCGGAUUCUGAUCCGCGGUGAAAGGAGCUCCGGCUCCGCCGAUAGAUUGGCCUGCGGCCCAUCAGCUAGUAGGUGAGGUAAAGGCCCACCUAGGCAAUGACGGGUAUCCGGCCUGAGAGGGUGAUCGGACACAUUGGGACUGAGAUACGGCCCAGACUCCUACGGGAGGCAGCAGCUAAGAAUAUUCCGCAAUGGGCGAAAGCCUGACGGAGCGACGCCGCGUGGAUGAUGAAGGCCGUGAGGUUGUAAAAUCCUUUUGUGAGUGAGGAAUAAACGCCGCAGGGAAUGGCGGCGCGGUGACUGUAGCUCACGAAUAAGCACCGGCUAAUUACGUGCCAGCAGCUGC
rnacentral:rRNA from 1 species